rnacentral:rRNA from 1 species
AAGUGGCGUACGGGUGAGUAACACGUGGAUCAUCUACCUUCUAGUGGGGAAUACCUCCGGGAAACUGGAGACAAUACCGCAUAAGCUCGUAAGAGGAAAGCAGCAAUGCGCUGGAAGAGGAGUCCGCGGCUGAUUAGCUAGUUGGCGGGGUAACGGCCCACCAAGGCGAAGAUCGGUAGCCGGCCUGAGAGGGCACACGGCCACACUGGCACUGAAACACGGGCCAGACUCCUACGGGAGGCAGCAGUGGGGAAUCUUGCACAAUGGAGGAAACUCUGAUGCAGCGACGCCGCGUGAGCGAUGAAGCCCUUCGGGGUGUAAAGCUCUUUCGACGGGAACGAUAAUGACGGUACCCGAAGAAGAAGCUGCGGCUAACUACGUGCCAGCAGCCGCGGUAAUACGUAGGCAGCAAGCGUUGUUCGGAAUUACUGGGCGUAAAGAGUGUGUAGGCGGUGUUCUAAGUUUGUCGUGAAAUCUCCCGGCUUAACUGGGAGGGUGCGGCGAAAACUGGAAUGCUAGAGGAUGGGAGAGGUAAGCGGAAUUCCUGGUGUAGCGGUGAAAUGCGUAGAUAUCAGGAGGAACACCUGUGGUGUAGACAGCUUACUGGACCAUUUC